rnacentral:rRNA from 1 species
UACGGAGGGGGCGAGCGUUAUUCGGAAUUAUUGGGCGUAAAGGGCGCGUAGGCGGCUUGAUAAGUCAAAGGUGAAAUCCCUGGGCUCAACCCAGGAACUGCGUCCGAUACUGAAAGGCUUGAAUCCGGGAGAGGGAUGCGGAAUUCCAGGUGUAGCGGUGAAAUGCGCAGAUAUUAGGAGGAACACCGGUGGCGAAGGCGCCACUCUGGGCCGAAACUGACGCUGAGGAGCGAAAGCGUGGGGAGCGAACAGG